GACCCCUUGGCUCAGUUGGUAGAGCAUGGUGUGUGCAACGCCAGGGUUGUGGGUUCGAUUCCCACGGGGGGCC
rnacentral:tRNA from 1 species